rnacentral:rRNA from 1 species
AUUGAACGCUGGCGGCAUGCUUUACACAUGCAAGUCGAACGGUAACAGGGUGCUUGCUCUCUGAUUUAGCGGCGGACGGGUGAGUAAUGCCUAGGAAUCUGCCUGGUAGUGGGGGAUAACGUUCCGAAAGGAACGCUAAUACCGCAUACGUCCUACGGGAGAAAGCAGGGGACCUUCGGGCCUUGCGCUAUCAGAUGGGCCUAGGUCGGAUUAGCUAGUUGGUGAGGUAAUGGCUCACCAAGGCGACGAUCCGUAACUGGUCUGAGAGGAUGAUCAGUCACACUGGAAACUGAGACACGGUCCAGACUCCUACGGGAGGCAGCAGUGGGGAAUAUUGGACAAUGGGCGAAAGCCUGAUCCAGCCAUGCCGCGUGUGUGAAGAAGGCCUUCGGGUUGUAAACUGCUUUUGUACGGAACGAAACGGCUCUCUCUAAUACAGGGGGCUAAUGACGGUACCGUAAGAAUAAGCACCGGCUAACUACGUGCCAGCCGCCGCCGUAAAAC